rnacentral:rRNA from 1 species
AUUGAACGCUGGCGGCAGGCCUAACACAUGCAAGUCGAGCGGGGUUUUCGGACCUAGCGGCGGACGGGUGAGUAAUGCGUAGGAAGCUGCCCGAUAGAGGGGGAUACCAGUUGGAAACGACUGUUAAUACCGCAUAAUGUCUACGGACCAAAGUGUGGGACCUUCGGGCCACAUGCUAUCGGAUGCGCCUACGUGGGAUUAGCUAGUUGGUGAGGUAAUGGCCCACCAAGGCGACGAUCUCUAGCUGGUUUGAGAGGAUGAUCAGCCACACUGGAACUGAGACACGGUCCAGACUCCUACGGGAGGCAGCAGUGGGGAAUAUUGGACAAUGGGCGCAAGCCUGAUCCAGCCAUGCCGCGUGUGUGAAGAAGGCCUUCGGGUUGUAAAGCACUUUCAGCGAGGAGGAAGGGGUGUGUGUUAAUAGUACACACCUUUGACGUUACUCGCAGAAGAAGCACCGGCUAACUCUGUGCCAGCAGCCGCAGUAACAC